rnacentral:rRNA from 1 species
AGAUGAGUAAUGCAUGUUCUUUAGAAUGAGAGACCCCCGGAAGACUACCGGGUUGAUAGGCCGCGUGUGUACGCAUAGAAAUAUGUUUAGCAAAGCGGUACUAACGGUCAAAGAUCUUG